AUUGAACGCUGGCGGCAGGCUUAACACAUGCAAGUCGAGCGAGCGGCGGACGGGUGAGUAAUGUCUGGGAAACUGCCUGAUGGAGGGGGAUAACUACUGGAAACGGUAGCUAAUACCGCAUACAAUCAGACGUGCCCAGAUGGGAGUAGAUAGUAGGUUGGGUAAUGGCUCACCUAGGCGACGAUCCCUGGCUGGUCUGAGAGGAUGACCAGAGACACUGGAACUGAGACACGGCCCAGACUCCUACGGGAGGCAGCAGUGGGGAAUAGUGCACAAUGGGCGCGAGCCUGAUGCAGCCAUGCAGCGUGUGUGAAGAAGGCCUUCGGGUUGUAAAGCACUUUCAGCGAUGAGGCGUUACUCGCAGAAGAAGCACCGGCUAACUCCGUGCCAGCAGCCGCGGGAAUA
rnacentral:rRNA from 1 species